rnacentral:rRNA from 1 species
GGAAUUGUUCGCAAUGGGCGCAAGCCUGACGACGCAAUGCCGCGUGGAGGAUGAAGGUCUUCGGAUUGUAAACUCCUGUUGCCAGGGACGAAUGGCUCCGACCUAACACGUCGGCGUAUGACGGUACCUGGUGAGGAAGCCCCGGCUAACUCUGUGCCAGCCGCCGCGGUAAUACAGAGGGGGGCAAGCGUUGUUCGGAAUUACUGGGCGUAAAGGGCGCGUAGGCGGCCUCUUAAGUCGAACGUGAAAUCCCCGGGCUCAACCCGGGAACUGCGUCCGAUACUGGGGGGCUUGAAUCCGGGAGAGGGAUGUGGAAUUCCAGGUGUAGCGGUGAAAUGCGUAGAUAUCUGGAGGAACACCGGUGGCGAAGGCGGCAUCCUGGACCGGUAUUGACGCUGAGGCGCGAAAGCCAGGGGAGCAAA